GCUUUUGUACACACCGCCCGUCGCUACUACCGAUUGAAUGAUUUAGUGAGGUCUUCGGACUGGUACGCGGCAUCGACUCUGUCGUUGCCGAUGCUUUCGGAAAGAUGACCAAACUUGAUCAUUUAGAGGAAGUAAAAGUCGUAACAAGGUUUCCGUAGGUGAACCUGCGGAAGGAACAUUA
rnacentral:rRNA from 1 species